AGGGGCUGGAGGAGGACGCGGACCCUGACCUUGAACGGACGACGAGGAGCCGGACGCCCGGCUCUGAGAAGAGGGGGAGCGGGCCUGGGGGGCGCUGCCGGGGACCCUCAGAGGCCCCGCCCAGUCCCCGGCCCGCGGGGCGGCUUCAGCUCGGCCAGGCCGGGGAGGCCGGCGGCCAGGAGCCCAGGGGCCCCGCGGAGGACGGGCUUCCGGCGGCCAGCGCCCCCGGGGCCCUCGGACCGCCCGGAGUCGCUCGCUUACGGACGAGGAGCCGGCGGGGCCAGUGUCUCUGCCCACCCCGCGCCCACCCGAGAGGCCCAGGGCAGGUGGCCGUGACGGUCUCCCUUCCUGCCCGUCACAUCCUCAGCCCCCGGCCACACUGAGCUGCUUAGAGCUGGGCGUCCGGCUCCACGUCCUCCCCUCAAGUUUCAAGCGCUGAAUUGCCAGCAAAUGUAAGAAAUCUGGAUGACGAUAUGGCUACAGCAUUUGAAGAGGACCAAGAAAUACUUUAUCAGAUGAAAAGCCUAGCAGCUCUGGAAAAAAUCACUGAAAGUCUCCAGAAAGCUUUAGGAAAUUCUCCCCAGCAAAGAAGAAAGAAGUAUAAAAGUUUGUUCAAGGGAGGCAAAAACCACAAGGGGAUGCAGAACCUAGCCUGAGAAACCAGGACUGCUCACUCACCCCCCGCCUCCAGGCAGAAAAACAAAAUAGAAUUACUAACCAUUCUGUGUAAAGGAGAAUCGUUUUAUUCAAGGAGUGCCAAAUAAAAUGAACCUGUUUAAGUAUUAAGUUAGAGGCAGUGUGGUUUUUUUCCUUAAACAAAAAAAGAAGUGAAAAUCUAAUUGAGCCUGAAAAAUAAGUGUCCAAAGCUUCUAUUGUCUGCCAGGAUGAGCUCUGAGAAAAACAUAACCUCAGAGGCUGUG